rnacentral:RNase_P_RNA from 1 species
UGAGUCGGCCAGGCGGUCGCGUCGGAUCCUUCGGGAUCCGCCGAGGAACGUCCGGGCUCCAAAGGGCAGGGUGGUGGCCAACAGCCACCCGGGGUGACCCGCGGGACAGUGCCACAGAAAACAGACCGCCAGCCUCGGCUGGUAAGGGUGAAACGGUGGUGUAAGAGACCACCAGCGCCCCAGGUGACUGGGGCGGCUCGGUAAACCCCACCCGGAGCAAGCCCAGACAGCGCACGUUCGAGACCGGCCCGGUCGAGUGCGCGGGUAGGGCGCUGGAGCCGGUCAGCAAUGGCCGGCCGAGAUGGAUGGCCGUCGCCGCGUCACUGGCAACGGAGACGCGGAACAGAACCCGGCGUAUCGGCCGACUCAUCCA